rnacentral:rRNA from 1 species
AUGGCGAUGUCCAAUCACGCCGCCGCCGCCGCCGGCGGCCCAUUCGCGGUGCUCGUGUGGUGCUACGUGAAGCGGUCCCUGCAGUUCCGCCGCUGCGGCCAGCCCCCGCUCGUGACGGACCAGCCGUACCUCGGGCGUUACGGCAGCUACGGCAACAGGUUCAUCGUCACAGACCUCUCCACGCUCCAGAGCGACGGCGCCUGCCGCCGGGCGCUGCGCAGGAUGCUGGCGGAACUGCCGCAGCUCCGGGCGCUCCGCCUCACCCAGGACGAGUGGGACGACGUCGUAACCGCUAACGUGGUGCCACAGAUCGUCCGCGUGGCGUGCGGCAACGGCGCCACCCGCGGCUUCACCUUCCGCUUCGAGAUGGAGGUGGACCGGCAGUUCAUAUACGACGAGCGGGCCCUCCUGAUGGCGUGCAAGGAGAGGGAGCUCGGCGGCGGCGGCAGGCCGGACAAGUGCCCGAUCUGCUUGGUGGGCCUGGAGGGAGAGCCCGCCGUGCAGCCACCGAGGUGCCCGCACACGUUCCACCGCAGGUGCAUUUUAAUGUGGUUCUGCAAGGCGACAACGUGCCCAAUUUGCCGCUGUGACGUGAGGUUCUGUGCCCUGCCGGAGUUUCUUGCUCUGUAG